CUACGGGUCGCUGCAGUCAAGAAUCUUCCUCAAUGGCCGAAAGGCUGAAGGAGCGACGCCGCGUGCAUGAUGAAGCCCCUCGGGGUGUAAAGUGCUUUUCUCUGGGACGAAACAAUGACGGUACCAGAGGAAUAAGGGGCUGCUAACCUCGUGCCAGCAGCAGCGGUAAUACGAGGGCCCCGAGCGUUAUCCGGAUUUAUUGGGCGUAAAGGGUCCGUAGGUUGUUUAUCACAUCUCCUGUUAAAUCCUAAGGCUCAACCUUGGGGCUGCGGGAGAGAUGGAUAGACUAGAGGCCGGGAGAGGCAAACGGAAUUGCUGGUGUAGGGGUUAAAUCCGUUAAUAUCAGCAGGAACACCAAAUGCGAAGGCAGUUUGCUAGAACGGUUCUGACACUCAUGGACGAAAGCGUGGGGAGCGAAAAGGAUUAGAUACCCGAGUAGUC
rnacentral:rRNA from 1 species